CUCACUACACUAUCAUGUGUCCUCCAACUAACCAUCCUGAUGCCUUUGAUCAUACAGUUCGAUCCAUCGAUAGAUAAACAGUGCCCUCAUUACUCUCCAAGGAGUCAAACUGCUCCUCUCUAUAACAUAUAUGAUAGGUGCAUGCAGAAUCUAAAAUUCACUAUUGGAAAAAAAUAGAUACCUCAUCAGAUAUCUCUAGGAC
rnacentral:lncRNA from 1 species